CUGUGAUCUACCGUUAGAGCAGUAGAAGAAGAAAUCAGCUAAUAGUUGGCCUUGUUUUGCAUGACAUUCCAUUCGCCUGAAUUUACACACAUUUGCACUGAACGAGAUGGCGGAGCACAAACAGUUACGGAAGAAAAGGGGGGACAAACGAGAAAACAGAAGAAAAAACAACACGAACCAAGACAUCGAAAGUAUGGGAGCACUUCACCCUAGAUGCAGUACAAAGACAAGUGACCUGCAAGAUAUGCAAAAACAGUCUGGCAUGGCACGGAAGCACGACUUCUCUACAUGAAAAUCUGAGACAAAAGCAUGUUGGAGUUGAAGCAGGAGAGAAAGAGCCAGCACGAAAAAAACAAGCAACAAUGAAUGAAUACAUGUGGAACAAGACCCUGACCCCCCAGCAAUGUAUACCACUUACAAACUCUUUUCUAAACAUGCUAGUAAAUUACAUGAGACCACUAUACAUGGUGGAAGGAGCAGGCUUCCAACUCAUGUUAAAACAAUUUAACCCAGGUUACACCAUCCCAUCUAGAACACAUUUUGCUAAGUUGUUAGAAAAGAAAUACCAAGCCACAUUGGAUGAGGUAAAAGCUACUCUCUAAGCCAUAUAUGGCAAAAUUGCCCUUACAGCAGAUAUCUGGACAAGUGUAGCCACUGAGGCAUACCUGGGCAUCACAUGCCACUAUUUUGGAGGUGAGUGGCAAAUGGAAUCGAUCUGCGUUUCUACACUGCCGCUGGAGGACAGACAUAUGGCACAAAACAUUGUAUUGUGGAUACAAGAAACACUAGAAAAAUCUGAAAUUGAUCCACACAAAGUCUCUGCAAUUGUACAUGAUAAUGGCUCAAAAAAUUGUGGCUGCUGGGAAAAUACUGGAGGAGCGAUAUGGCUGGGCCUCCAUUAGAUGCACGUUGCAGCUAGUUCUCAUCCCAGCUCUUAAGCAUCAAGUCAUUGCCAAAGCAGUUGGCGCUGCAAAAUGCCUAAUAGAACAUUUUAAAAAAAGUGAACUUGCAUCCACCAAACUGAAACAUAAACAAGAACAAAUGGGCACCCCUGAACACACACUUAUCCAAGACGUAAGUACUAGAUGGAACAGCACAUAUCACAAGAUCAGUCAUCUGCUGGAACAACGGUGGUCUGUUAUGCUGUCGGAUUCACAUGUGACAAAAACCUCCAAACAGUACUACCAGACCAAUGGAGUUUGUUAGAGGAGCUUUCGACAGCCCUGAAACCUUUUGUUGUUGCCACUGAAUACAUGAGCGGUGAGAAAUACAUCACAAUUUCCUCAUUGCCACCUUUAAUAAAAGGGUUAGUUAAGUCAGUUCAAAGUAUGGCUUUUGAAACAGGUGGUGCACAAGCCUUCCAACACACGGCUAAAGAGCAACUCGAACAGUGGAGGGAUGCAAUCACUUUCUCUGACACCUCACACAACACCAUCAUAAUUAGUUCUUCCCUAGAUCCACGCUUCAGAAAACUAAAGUUGUUGUCUACUGAGGACAGCUUUAAAGUGCAAGUAAAGAGUAAAGAGUAAAGGUGAGGAUGAAAGCAGUUGAAGCAGUAGAGUAGAGCCCCCCGUUACCCAGCAUGACACAACUGACUGUCUUCCUGCUUGUUGGGAGAAACCUGCCGCCUCGUUACUUGACUAUCUUAUAGACUAUGACACCAGCAGUAAAGAGGAGGGCAGCGAUACCGAGGAACCUGCUGUGAAAAUAAGGAAGGAAAUACUUACUUACUUUGGAGAGAAGCCCAUCCCCAAAUAAGAAAAUCCUCUACAGUGGUGGAAGACAAAUGAGCUUAGAUUUCCCUCUUUGUCAAAGUUAGCUAAAUCAUAUCUCUGUAUCCCAAGCACUUCAACUCCACCUGAGCACCUGUUUUCGGAAGCAGGCAACAUAUGCUCUAAAAAAGGGCAAGCCUAAGGCCUGAGCAUGUUGACAUGUUGACAUUUUUGCACUGCAAUGCAAAAUUCUUAAAUAAGUGUUACCUUGCAGUAUGUUUUCAACAGGCAGAUUGUAUUUCUAUGCCAGUUCAUGCAUGGCCUGUUCUAUUGCACAUUUAUUGUUUUAAUGAUGUUGAUGUUGAUAUUUGCACUACUAUAUGUAAAGAGUGGAAAGUGGGAGUGUGUUUGUUAGAGCUCCUCUAACAAACUCCAUCGGUCUGGUUUCAAAUUUCACUUUCAGUGUGCACUUCACUUUUGAGACAAGGUAGAGACAGCAGUUUAUAUUAUUUUUGUAAAAAUACUGCCCAACUAAGAACAUUCAGAAUAAAAUGUGAUUUUCAUUUCAUGGCCAUUUAUUUAAAUUUAUAUGUACAGCAUAAUAAGGGGUGAGAUAAUUUUGUUAUUUGCUGUACACUCAUUUGUAUGGUAUUCUAUCCCAUUUUUGUAUUUUAUGCCUAAAAAUGAACAUAUUUUACACUGUUGAGCUCAUUUGUUUCUUCCUAAACUGAGUUAAAUAAAUUGCAGUGAACUGCA